GAUGAACGCUGGCUACAGGCUUAACACAUGCAAGUCGAGGGGAAACGGCAUUGAGUGCUUGCACUGAAUGGACGUCGACCGGCGCACGGGUGAGUAACGCGUAUCCAACCUUCCCGUUACUGCGGGAUAACCUGCCGAAAGGCAGACUAAUACCGCAUGUUCUUCGAUGACGGCAUCAGAUUCGAAGCAAAGAUCCGUCGGUAACGGAGGGGGAUGCGUCUGAUUAGCUAGUUGGCGGGGCGACGGCCCACCAAGGCGACGAUCAGUAGGGGUUCUGAGAGGAAGGUCCCCCACAUUGGAACUGAGACACGGUCCAAACUCCUACGGGAGGCAGCAGUGAGGAAUAUUGGUCAAUGGGCGGAAGCCUGAACCAGCCAAGUAGCGUGCAGGAUGACGGCCCUACGGGUUGUAAACUGCUUUUGUAUGGGGAUAAAGUCAAUCACGUGUGAUUGUUGCAGUACCGCAU
rnacentral:rRNA from 1 species